AUUGAACGCUGGCGGCAGGCUUAACACAUGCAAGUCGAACGGUAGCAGGAGAAAGCUUGCUUUCUUGCUGACGAGUGGCGGACGGGUGAGUAAAUGCUUGAGAAUCUGGCUUAUGGAGGGGGAUAACUACGGGAAACUGUAGCUAAUACCGCGUAAUAUCGAAAGAUUAAAGUGUGGGACCUUCGGGCCACAUGCCAUAAGAUGAGCCCAAGUGGGAUUAGGUAGUUGGUGGGGUAAAGGCCUACCAAGCCGACGAUCUCUAGCUGGUCUGAGAGGAUGACCAGCCACACUGGAACUGAGACACGGUCCAGACUCCUACGGGAGGCAGCAGUGGGGAAUAUUGCGCAAUGGGGGGAACCCUGACGCAGCCAUGCCGCGUGAAUGAAGAAGGCCUUCGGGUUGUAAAGUUCUUUCGGUAUUGAGGAAGGGAUGUGUGCUAAUAGUAGACAUCAUUGACGUUAAAUACAGAAGAAGCACCGGCUAACUCCGUGCCAGCAGCCGCGGUAAUACGGAGGGUGCGAGCGUUAAUCGGAAUAACUGGGCGUAAAGGGCACGCAGGCGGUUAUUUAAGUGAGGUGUGAAAGCCCCGGGCUUAACCUGGGAAUUGCAUUUCAGACUGGGUAACUAGAGUACUUUAGGGAGGGGUAGAAUUCCACGUGUAGCGGUGAAAUGCGUAGAGAUGUGGAGGAAUACCGAAGGCGAAGGCAGCCCCUUGGGAAUGUACUGACGCUCAUGUGCGAAAGCGUGGGGAGCAAACAGG
rnacentral:rRNA from 1 species